rnacentral:rRNA from 1 species
CACUCCUGCGGGAGGCAGCAGUGGGGAAUAUUGGACAAUGGGCGCAAGCCUGAUCCAGCCAUGCCGCGUGAGUGAUGAAGGCCCUAGGGUUGUAAAGCUCUUUCACCGGUGAAGAUAAUGACGGUAACCGGAGAAGAAGCCCCGGCUAACUUCGUGCCAGCAGCCGCGGUAAUACGAAGGGGGCUAGCGUUGUUCGGAUUUACUGGGCGUAAAGCGCACGUAGGCGGACUAUUAAGUCAGGGGUGAAAUCCCGGGGCUCAACCCCGGAACUGCCUUUGAUACUGGUAGUCUUGAGUUCGAGAGAGGUGAGUGGAAUUCCGAGUGUAGAGGUGAAAUUCGUAGAUAUUCGGAGGAACACCAGUGGCGAAGGCGGCUCACUGGCUCGAUACUGACGCUGAGGUGCGAAAGCGUGGGGAGCAAGCAGGAUUAGAAACCCUGGUAGUCCCAUGAU